CUGGCGUACGAGGUGAAAUGGUUUUUCACCCGGCUGCGCGGCGGUCCCGCGGCGGUCCAGGUGGCCAGCGUUGACCGCUUUGGCGUUGUGAGAAAAAUCAACCGCAAUUCAUCCAGCGACGUUACAAUAGAGCGCAAAGACACACACACCUACCUGCUCAACAUAUUUGGCACUCAGGACAGUGACAGCGGGGAGUAUUUCUGCUCCGUCACUCCCUGGUACCUGUCGGCCUCAACGGGAGCCUGGACAGAAGCUCAAGAGCUGACAUCAUCCAAAGUCUUCCUCGCUGUCAAAUUUGCAGUUUGGGACUCCCUAAAGUUACCUCUCUUAUAUGGUGCAUCGGCCUCACUGGGUAAUAUAGUCAUUAUAUGUUUGUUGUACUUCAGAGACU